AGAGCGAACGCUGGCGGCAGGCUUAACACAUGCAAGUCGAACGGAUCCUUCGGGAUUAGUGGCGGACGGGUGAGUAACACGUGGGAACGUGCCUUUUGGUUCGGAACAACUCAGGGAAACUUGAGCUAAUACCGGAUGUGCCCUUCGGGGGAAAGAUUUAUCGCCAUUAGAGCGGCCCGCGUCUGAUUAGCUAGUUGGUGAGGUAAAGGCCCACCAAGGCUACGAUCAGUAGCUGGUCUGAGAGGAUGACCAGCCACAUUGGGACUGAGACACGGCCCAAACUCCUACGGGAGGCAGCAGUGGGGAAUCUUGCGCAAUGGGCGAAAGCCUGACGCAGCCAUGCCGCGUGAAUGAUGAAGGUCUUAGGAUUGUAAAAUUCUUUCACCGGGGACGAUAAUGACGGUACCCGGAGAAGAAGCCCCGGCUAACUUCGCGCCAGCAGCCGC
rnacentral:rRNA from 1 species